rnacentral:lncRNA from 1 species
CUACGAGCAGCGGAGAGCUUUCGUCAUUUUCAGCUCACUCCAGCUUCCGAAAGCUGGUGCGAAGUGUUUCAUCUAACUUGCAUUUUAGCGAAGUUUCUCUCGCGGUCCCAGAAGCCUGGGGACAGGCAGGGGGCAACUCCGGACCUGGCAGGUGCCUGCCUGGCAGGAGCGCUCCCGGGGGCAGCGAGCGGAGCCGGCGACAAAAGGAGGACGGUUUGCGCAAAACCUCAGGGGCCGGCUUUGGAGACGGAGGGAAAAAAAAGAAAUAAAAAUAAUAAUAAUAAAAAAGAAAAAAUCUCGGAGCGCGGCGACGAGCCCCUGGCAGCGGUCCCCGGAGCGCCGGGUGGCCGCGGGGGGGUCCGGGGAGCUCCGCAGCCGCAGCUCGGGGGGCGCCCGGCCCCGCGCAACCCCCGCGCCCCGCAGCCCCCCCGUUCCCUCCAGCUCCCCCCUCCCCGUCACUCCUCCCGACCCUGCGCUUCGCUCUGCUUUCCCCCGCCGUCGGGGCCGCCGCGAGGAGCGCGGGGAAGAAGUUUGCCAAAGUUUCAGAUAUUUUUUCUUUCUUUUUUUUUUUUUUCCCUUUUUUUUUUUUUGUUUUUUCCCCUCCCCGCUCCUUGCGCCUCGCCGCGGGGGCGGCGGGCAGGGGAGCGGGGCGGGCGGCCGGCAGCUCGCCGGCUGCAGGUGUGUGCGAAGGCUCCCGUCGGGAGGCUCCGCAGGCUGCAGCGCCGCACGGAGCCCCCUCCGGCCCGCACCCCCGGACCCCCCCACGCCCCGUCCCCCCGCCCUCUCUGCCGGGUGGGCUCCGUAGAGCACCGCGGCGGUGCCCCCGGCGCGGCCCCGUCCGUCCCCCCCCCCCGUGCCCGUGGAGCGCCGCCGAAGGAGCGGGAGCGACUCACUCAUGGGAGCGCGGCGGGCGAGGCCGGCGACACCUCCGGCUUCCGAGGCGCCGGCGAAGUUAAUUGCACUGAAGUUCAAGUUGUCUUUUCACCCAUCAGGAGUGGGCGUUUAAAGGAAGGAGAGCGAGGAGGAGGAGGGGGAGGGGGGAGGGGGGAGAGUCGCUCUCGCUCUCGCUCGCUCUCGCACACACACCCGCACACACCCGCACACACACACACACGGAGGCACAGCCAGCCAGCCACACGCACAGACACACGGACACACGCACACAGCCACACGCGCGCACCCGCCCGCUCGGCUCCGCUCCCGAGCUGCCUCAGCAAGGAGGAGCCCGGACGGAAACCACCAGGGCAGCAAGACCCUUCUUUCCCAUCUUCGCUGCUGCACGGUUUGGAUGUGGAGUUCCUGGAAAGUGAACCUGGCAAUGAGUGCAGGUUUCCCUGA